UAGACCUCGGCACUGAAGCCGGGACGGCAGGGCUCGGGUUCUGCCUCCUGGCAGAGCAACGAUGAGACCUGGGGUGGAGAAAAGGCAGCACUCAGCCCCGCGUCGCGCAGCCUCCAGCUGGCCCUCUGCACCCCAACUUUCUUAGAAGAAGGAAAUCAGGACGGCAGCAGGCAGCAAAGAUCAACGAAGGGAGUGGUGGGGCCGAAAGGUGUCCUGCUGGAAGUCAGGACCCUCCAAGUACCUGCAGCAGAAGUAGAAUCGCGGAGAAGCAGCGGCACGGGGCUCCCAUGGCUGGCCGGGCGGGCGCCGAGCAAACACGGAGCUCGGGUGCGGUCAGGCAGGGACGGGUUAGGCCGGGCUGGAGUCUAGCAGAACUUCCCAAGAGCUCACGACCACACCGCUGCUCCCCUCUCCACUGAGCCAGGCAGAGGCUGUGGCCGCCAGGUGAGCCUAAAGGCACCGCCCCCGGCCCCACUGAUUGGCUGAGGACGCACCUGCAGGUGGCAGCCAAGGAACCGCACGGCCCUUGACUUCCUCCACCCUUAACUGUAGUUGGUGGCAUGGCCAGAGACUUCCUUGCUUCCUAGAACACGCUCUUUAGAAUCUCAGCCCAACCGUGCUCUGGCCCACUGAAACUUUGAGUUAUAAAGAACUUUACAUCUAC